rnacentral:rRNA from 1 species
UGGGGAAUAUUGGACAAUGGGCGCAAGCCUGAUCCAGCCAUGCCGCGUGAGUGACGAAGGCCUUAGGGUUGUAAAGCUCUUUUGGCGGGGAAGAUAAUGACGGUACCCGCAGAAUAAGCUCCGGCUAACUCCGUGCCAGCAGCCGCGGUAAUACGGAGGGAGCUAGCGUUGUUCGGAAUUACUGGGCGUAAAGCGUACGUAGGCGGUUAUUCAAGUCAGAGGUGAAAGCCCGGGGCUCAACCCCGGAACUGCCUUUGAAACUAGAUAGCUAGAAUCUUGGAGAGGUCAGUGGAAUUCCGAGUGUAGAGGUGAAAUUCGUAGAUAUUAGGAAGAACACCAGUGGCGAAGGCGGCUCACUGGAUCGGUACUGACGCUGAGGUGCGAAAGCGUGGGGAGCAAACAGGAUUAGAUACCCUCGUAGUCCCUGAGCGGGCUGGCAAGGCGCAU